AUGUGUGUUGAGUUACUUAUUCAAGAUAUACUAGUCAAGUUUGUAAUGGAUACUGGAGCUACGUUAACUCUUGUUUCUACCCAAGUGUACGAUCUUAUUCCUGACUUGUAUAGGCCACAUCUGAAGGCUACUAAGUCACAAAUUACGUCCGCAUGUGGAAACUUUUUGAACCUUAGAGGUAAAGGCAAUUUUAAACUAGAUUUUGGUACAGAAAGGUUUACUUCACAGGCCGUAGUAACCGAGCUACAAGUUGAUGGCAUUCUUGGUUUAGACUUCAUAAAGAAAAACAAGUGUCUGGUUGAUGUGUCUGAAAACAUAUUUCACAUCGAUAACCUUAGUGUUACCUUAAUUUUUCAAGGUACAUUAGGAUGUUUCAGGGUGGUUUCUACAGAAUCUGUUACUGAUCCAGCUCGAUCAGAGAUAGUAGUUUCUGGGAAAGUUUGCUUGUCAGAAGGUCAGACAUUGCCAACAAAUGAUGUUUUAGUAAAAGCUUGUGAAAAUAAAGGGAAAGAUUACAUUUUGACGGCACGUUCCUUAGUCAAAUCAAAUGACAGUAUACCAGUCAGACUCAUGAAUGUAGAGAACGAGACUAAGACUAUAUUUCCGGGCACAACUAUUGCACAGAUGUGUGAAAUCAGCCACGUAGCAAAAUCUUUGCCCUCUCAGAAUGACGGACAAAAUAAAAAGGCGUUGAGGUCAGAUUUGCAUGAUCUUUUGAACAGAACAUCUGACAAAUUAUCAAGGUCAGAAAAACAGAAGGUCAACAGUUUAGUGCAAGAAUAUGAAAGACUGUUUGCUGAAACAGAUAUAGACCUAGGUAAGACUAGUUUAGUCAAACAUGAAAUAGAAACUGGUAAUGCUAGGCCUUUCAAAGAACCUCCUCGCCGCACACCUUUUCAUUUAUCAAAAGUUGUUUAUGACAAUAUAGAUAAAAUGUUAGAAAAUAAAGUUAUUGAGCCUUCACACAGCCCAUGGGCUGCAGCUAUAGUUUAAGUCAAGAAAAAGGACGACACGUACCGUUUUUGUGUGGAUUACAGGAAACAGAAUAACGUGACUAUCAAUAAAGACGCAUAUCCACUGCCUAGAAUAGAUGCAUCACUUGACCAUCUUGUAGGCACAGCUGGUUUAGUACUCUUGACUGUUGUUCUGGAUAUUGGCAAGUUGAACUGGCCGAGAAAGAUAAACAUAAGACGGCAUUUGCGACUAGAAAAGGGUUGUUUCAGUUCAAGGUAAUGCCGUUUGGGUUGUGCUGUGCUGCACAAACGUUUGAGCGUUUAAUGGAAACUGUUCUAGCAGGGCUCCAAUGGGAGGUAUGUCUAGUAUAUCUAGAUGACAUUAUUGUUUUUGGCAAGACAUUAGAUGAUAUUUUGGUUAAUUUAAGGACAGUUUUUGACAAAUUAAAAUCAGCAGGCUUGAAGGUAAAGGCUUAAAAGUGUAACUUAUGUGUUACCAUGGUUCGUUAUUUAGGGCAUAUAAUUUCAAAAGAUGGCAUAGCCACUGAUCCUGAGAAAAUUAAAGUUGUACAAAAUUGGCCUGUUCCAACAAACCCUACUGAAGUUCGUUCAUUUUUAGGUCUGUGCAGCUAUUAUAGAAAGUUCAUCAAAAACUUUGCCUCAAUUGCUAAAUGUCUGCAUGUUCUGACUGAAAAAAGGCAAAAGGUUUGAAUGGAUAUCUGAUUGUCAGCAUGCAUUUGAUCUACUUAAAAUAAAGUUGACAAACGCCCCAAUAUUAACACAUCCUGAUUUUAACAAAGAGUUCAUCUUAGAUACAGAUGCUAGUAAUGUCGCAUUAGGGGGUGUCUUAUCACAAAGUCAUGAAGACGGUAAGGAAAAGGUUAUAGCAUAUGCCAGUCGCUCAAUGUCUAAAUCCGAGCGUAGAUAUUGCGUGACUCGCAAAGAGUUGCUAGCUGUGGUAUACUUUGUGAAGUAUUUUAAACCAUAUUUAUAUGGGAGAAAAUUUACGAUCAGAACGAAUCAUAGCUCACUUCGGUGGUUGUUGAAUUUCAAAAACCCAGAAGGCCAAGUGGCUAGAUGGAUUGAGACUUUGAGUGCUUAUGAUAUUCACAUCAACACCGACCAGGUAACCAACACAGGAAUGCUGACGCACUUAGUCGUAUUCCCUGUAAACAAUGUGGGUAUACGUUAGACUUGCAGUCAAAAACGAGCAGUGAUUGUCACAAGACUGAAGAAAGUCAGGUUAAAAUAGUAACUAGUCAGGUGCCUGACCAUGAUACAGAUUGGACGUUGACAGAUAAACAAUCAAACGACCCAGACCUUAAAUUAGUUAAACAGUGGCUGACGGAUUGUCGAGGGCCACAAUACAAUGAGGUUUCUGGUAAAGGUUUUUUUUAUAAGGUCAUUAUGGAAUCAGUUUAAUAGUUUAGAACUUCAAGAUGAUUUGGUAUUCAGACAUUUUUAUAACAAUGAACGGAAAAUUGUGAAAUUGCAACCUAUAAUCCCGUUGUCUGGAAGAAAACAAGUUUUACACUUCUGUCAUGAUGCAAAGUAUGCAGGUCAAUUAGGUAUGCGUAAGACUUUUGAGAAAAUACGCCAGUCUUAUUAUUGGCCAGGUUUGCAAGCUGACGUUAGAGCAUAUGUCGCUGGUUGCGAUACGUGUGCUAUAAGGAAAACCCCAACGAAAAAGAAACGUGCUCCAAUGGCCAUAGUAGAGACAAGUAGUCCUAUCGAAAGGUUAGCUACUGAUAUUCUUGGGGAACUUCCGGAAACUGAAAAAGGCAAUCGGUAUAUCUUAGUUGUAUCAGACUACUAUACUAAAUGGACAGAAUCGUUCCCUAUGCCCAAUAUGGAAGCAAGCACUGUUGUCAAAAUAAUUGUAGAGGAUGUAAUAGCUCGAUUCAGUGUCCCGUCCUGGAUUCACUCUGAGCGAUUCGGCUUCUUGUAA
rnacentral:sRNA from 1 species